rnacentral:lncRNA from 1 species
UUUCUACUUUCUUACUACUCAUCUUCCCUGUCCUUCCUCCAUUUUCUCUUCUUCCUCAGAGUAAUUUCAGGCUCAGUGAUCUCUCUAUUCUUUUAUUGUGCUCCACAAACAUCACAUAUAUUUUAACAAAUAUUCUGUUCCUUGAAUAACACUGAGUGGCUCAGUUUUCCUAACUGGGUUUCUCUGCCUCGAAGGUUCUGAUGCACCGUGGGCAUGUAAUAAAUGUCUGCUGCAGGAAUACAGGAUGAAAUAACUAACUGCUCUCCAGUUUAUGUGUCCUUCAGUAGGCUGUAUCCAUCAAUCAUCAUGCCAGGUAUUACUGGGGAAACAAACACAUGAGGACCUUGGUUUGCUCUAUCUCAAGAAGGCUCAUAUAAAAUAAUAAUACUGGUAAAGAAGUUACAUUACUGAUAGAGGUGUGCAUCAAAGGUUCCUUCUGCAAGAGUUACAUCCACCUUCAUACUUCCUGAGGAGCAAAGAAGGGCCUGUGUUUUGACCCCCUUUCACAGAAGAUAAUCACUGGACUCCUGGUUCCGGAUGGAUGAGCAGCUCAGUAGAAUUCACUGAGUUACUGAGGGGUUGGUUCACUUCAGCCUCAAGCAAUACAAGCAGGGAGAUGAAUCUCCAAGUUUCUUCAAUGCACUGUCUACUCUUAAUCAACAUUUCAAAACUCAGAAAAUUCUAA